rnacentral:rRNA from 1 species
UACGUAGGGGGCGAGCGUUAUCCGGAAUCACUGGGCGUAAAGGGUGCGUAGGUGGCUAAUCAAGCCAGGGGUGAAAGGCUACGGCUUAACCGUAGUAAGCCCUUGGAACUGAAUAGCUUGAGUGCAGGAGAGGAGAGCGGAAUUCCUAGUGUAGCGGUGAAAUGCGUAGAUAUUAGGAGGAACACCAGUGGCGAAGGCGGCUCUCUGGACUGUAACUGACGCUGAGGCACGAAAGCGUGGGGAGCGAACAGGAUUAGAUACCCUGGUAGUCCACGCCGUAAACGAUGAGUGCUAGGUGUCGGGGGUUCACACCCUCGGUGCCGGAGUUAACGCAAUAAGCACUCCGCCAGGGGAGUACGGUCGCAAGACUGAA